rnacentral:tRNA from 2 species
CGCGGGGUGGAGCAGUAGGUAGCUCGCCGGGCUCAUAACCCGAAGGUCGGAGGUUCAAGUCCUUCCCCCGCAACCA